rnacentral:rRNA from 1 species
GCGCACCAGGCGCGAAACCUUCGCAAUGCAGGAAACUGCGACGAGGGAACUCCAAGUGCCUACGCUCAGCGUAGGCUGUUCUCAAGCCUAGAAAGCUUGAGGAGUAAGGGCUGGGUAAGACGGGUGCCAUCUGUGGUAGCAGUCAAUAGAUUCGAUUUGUUACUGCAAGGCAUAAGCCGCCGCGGUAAUACCCGCAGCCCAAGUGGUGGCCGCUUUUAUUGGGCCUAAAGCGUCCGUAGCCGGCCCGGUAAAUGCCUGGGUAAAUCGUGGAGCCCAACUUCACGAAUUCCGGGUAGACUGCCGAGCUCGGGACCGGAAGAGGGAGAGGGUACUUCGAGGGGUAGGGGUGAAAAUUUCCUUUCCAUUAACGCUUUUGCGCGAAGCGGAAA